CGCGUAGGCGGUCUGUUAAGUGUGAAGUGAAAUCUCCAGCGCUCAACGCGGAAACGGCUUUACAUACUGGCAGACUAGAGGGACGAAGAGGUGAGUGGAAUUCCUGGUGUAACGGUGAAAUGUGUUGAUAUCAGGAGGAACACCGAUGGCGAAGGCAGCUCACUGGUCGUUUCCUGACGCUGAGGCGCGAAAGCGUGGGUAGCAAACA
rnacentral:rRNA from 1 species